rnacentral:ncRNA from 2 species
CUAUUUUUGCAGUGAUCCGGUUCUGCCUACGCUCAUUGGGAGCACGGCGGAUGAAAAGGGAAGUCGGUGCAAUUCCGGCGCUAUCCCCGUAGCUGUAAAAAACCGGUCCGCCUACGCUAAAGCUUCGGCGGGCGAUGCCUGAACAACAACCACUGUCUCAAUGCUAAGCUUCGAAGAUGGGAAGGUGUUCAGCAAGGUUUAAGCCAGAAGACCUGCCAGAUCACUUAAACAACA